rnacentral:rRNA from 1 species
GACGAACGCUGGCGGCGUGCUUAACACAUGCAAGUCGAGCGGUAAGGCUCCUUCGGGAGUACACGAGCGGCGAACGGGUGAGUAACACGUGAGCAAUCUGCCCUUCUCAUCGGAAUAACCAUUGGAAACGAUGGCUAAUGCCGAAUACGACUUCCUUUCGCAUGUCAGGAAGUGGAAAGCUCCGGCGGAGAAGGAUGAGCUCGCGGCCUAUCAGCUUGUUGGUGAGGUAAGGGCUCACCAAGGCGACGACGGGUAGCCGGCCUGAGAGGGUGACCGGCCACACUGGGACUGAGACACGGCCCAGACUCCGACGGGGGGCAGCAGUGGGGAAUAUUGGACAAUGGGCGAAAGCCUGAUCCAGCAACGCCGCGUGAGGGAUGACGGCCUUCGGGUUGUAAACCUCUUUCAGCAGGGACGAAGCGAAAGUGACGGUACCUGCAGAAGAAGGGCCGGCCACUACGUGCCAGCAGCCGCCGCCG